rnacentral:lncRNA from 1 species
GAACUUCUGCAUGCUGCAGGCAUGGCCAAACAAAACAAAAAAGUCCAACCAUAUGCUCUUUAUGAGAGAGACAUCUAAAACAUACGGAUACCAGUAGAUUGAAAUAAUGGAAUUAAGUUACGCCGUGGUAGGUAUUAUUACAUAAAACUUAAGGCAGAAUGCAUUACUAAGAGUAAAGGUCAUUGUAUAAUAAAAAUUCCCAAUCACCAGAAGUAUCUACUAAUUCUAGAUUCUACUUACGACUUCAAAACACAUGAAGCAAAAAUUGAUCAUCUACAAGGAGAAAUAUAUAAAUGUACAAUCACGGCGAGAGAUUUUAACACAUUAAAAUCCCGAGGGCAAUCCUUACCUCGUGCAGGAUGAGAACCAAGCAGUAGAAAAAUAAUCACCACGUCACCCUCAAGUGGUGAUUCUACAUGGCUCUUCAGACAGUCCCCAGAAAAGUAAAGCCCAUUUCCUCUCAGCAGAGAUCAGCUCAGUAGAACAUUGAAUUGGAUUGUCUUCCUUCCUUGUCUUGCUCUCCCCAGACCCCGUUCUUUUUCCCUUGGACUCAUCCCAGAGUAAAUUCUUGCAUGCAAAGUACUUCUCUCAACCCUGCUACUUUGUGGACCCAGGCUAAGACACUUGGUGAUACAAGCAGUUCUACAAACAAACCGUCCAAAUGGAUUCUAGUAUUGGACCAACUGGAUCCAGUAAGGAUCCCAGUCAUGUUGGUAAAUGGGGUGACAUUAACCCUUGGCACGCAGCAGCAUCACAGUUGCUGAGGUUUUCACCAGCAGUGAAUUGGAAUGGUGAAUUCGGAAGAUGAGGCAUUGCUUUAUGUAGUGGCAAUUCAUAAAAAAAUACGUGGUCAAUGUUAAUUAUAGGGAAUGUAGAGCUGGCUGACUCUGGUUGCUGGUCUUUAGAAGUCUUGUGAGAGGAGAGGAAAAUGGCAGCUUGAUUGGCCAACUGUCAACCUCAAGGAAUGCUGUGCAACUGGGAAAGUUUCCAGGACAACAGAGAAAUGUCCCUCUCCCCCCAACAGCCCUAGGAAGAUAGUUGCCAUUCAUCCUAGGCUUUAAUUGUGAGUACAGCUUGGUUACCAAGGAGAACACAGCCUUAAGGAGACUCUGAGGUCAGUGUCAGGGCCCAGCUAAGGAAACAGCAGACCUUGAGACAUGGGGUAAGGGUGUUUGAAUGGACAAAUCUGAGACCCUUGAACCCCACAUUCCUCUGAUCCCAGGAACUGUCCCUCCUCCUUCCUGGAGAGGAAUGGUCUUCCCUGGCUGCAGACACUGCGAAGACACCACUAGAGGCAGGAGCUUCACAAGGUGGGGUUCGUCCUAAGAUCUGCCUCUACCUCCUUUGUUUCCUCCAGACCAGCCGUCAAGUCAGGCGCAGCCCAAGCAAGAUGAUCCAGCUCCUCCUUUCGGGAGAUACCGUGUGUACUCAAAGGCUCGAAAGUGUUGGUUAACAGGCGCUAAAGGUGAACCAGAGACCUCAUGUUGGACUGGGUCUUAAGGAGCAGCCAAGGAAAGAUGCCUCCUUGUGUUUCAGUUUCUUCAACUGUCAAAUCUGAUUACGAGUGCCUGUCCAACCUACUUUAUAUACUUAUUAGAGUAAAUGAAGAAAUUAAUAUUAUAGUGAACUCUGCUAGGGACUAUACUAGGCACUUCACAUAAAUUAUUUAAUUAGGAUAAAAUUGGGCAAGUGUAAACACUUAAUCUAGUUCUAAACUUGUUUAGAACACAAACACAACAUUGUAAUCAACUACACACCAAUACAUUUUUUAAAAGAAGACUUAAAUGUGUUAUUUUUAAUAGCAUGCCCUAGGAAAAAUGCAGAUUUGUGAAACCUUGUUGCCUAAAAGGAAAGAAGAAAAGGAAGCCGGUGUUUCAAAAACUCAGACAUAUUAGAAUAUGGCAUUGAGUAAGCUGUUGUCUUGUUUGGGGGAAGGUGGACCAUCUGAAGAGGGCUUUAGGGACAGUUCUAGUCAUUGACCUUGGGAGAAGCAGGGUAGGAACAGUGCUGCUGCGGAAGCUGAGAGAGCAGUUCUGUGUCCAGUGGAGCACAGUGAACUCCUGGGUGGCACCUGUGGUGUCUUGGGUAACGCAUGGCCUCCCACCCAGACUGCCUCGGUUGGAAUCCCAGCUCUGGCGCUCAGCCCACUGGGGGAUAUUGGACAGGUAGUUACAAAACUCCAUUUUAUGGAGUUCCCUGGUGGCACAGCAGGUGAAGAAUUUGACCUUGGUAGUGCUGCAGCUCAGGUCACUGGUGUGGCAUGGGUUCCACCUCUGGCCUGGGAACUUCCGUAUGCCGGGGACACGG